rnacentral:tRNA from 1 species
CAAAAAGUAGUAUAUUACAAUUACAUUUCGUUUACACCGAGAAAAAGGCUUAUCGCCCUUUUUGA